rnacentral:rRNA from 1 species
UGGGGAAUCUUGGACAAUGGGGGCAACCCUGAUCCAGCCAUGCCGCGUGAGUGAUGAAGGCCUUAGGGUCGUAAAGCUCUUUCGCCUGUGAAGAUAAUGACGGUAGCAGGUAAAGAAACCCCGGCUAACUCCGUGCCAGCAGCCGCGGUAAUACGGAGGGGAAUUAGCGUUGUUCGGAAUUACUGGGCGUAAAGCGCACGUAGGCGGACCAGAAAGUUGGGGGUGAAAUCCCGGGGGCUCAACCCCGGAACUGCCUCCAAAACUAUUGGUCUAGAGUUCGAGAGAGGUGAGUGGAAUUCCAAGUGUAGAGGUGAAAUUCGUAGAUAUUUGGAGGAACACCAGUGGCGAAGGCGGCUCACUGGCUCGAUACUGACGCUGAGGUGCGAAAGUGUGGGGAGCAAACAGGAUUAGAUACCCUGGUAGUCCACACCGUAAAACGAUGAAUGCCAGUCGUCGGGUAGCAUGCUAUUCGGUGACACACCU